rnacentral:pre_miRNA from 1 species
AAAAAGGCAAACCUUGGAUUUCCAUGUCCAACUUUGACUGUCCGUCUUAUAUAAAUUUUUUUUAUAAUUUGUAUUUUCAUUGUUGUUCAAUGAUAAAACAUAAUUAAUAUUUUAUGCGUGACUUGUUUUUUUAAUUUUUUUCAUAAUUUUUUCAAAUAAGACGGACGGUCAAACGUUGGACACGGAAAUCAGGGUUUGUCUUUUU